rnacentral:rRNA from 1 species
UACGGAGGGCGCGAGCGUUAAUCGGAAUUACUGGGCGUAUAGCGCGCGUAGGCUGUUGUGUAAGUUGGGGGUGAAAUCCCACGGCUCAACCGUGGAACAGCCCUUGAUACUGCGCGACUUGAAUCCGGGAGAGGGUGGCGGAAUUCCAGGUGUAGGAGUGAAAUCCGUAGAUAUCUGGAGGAACAUCAGUGGCGAAGGCGGCCACCUGGACCGGUAUCGACGCUGAGGCGCGAAAGCGUGGGGAGCAAACAGG